GAAUUUUCAAAAAUAAAAAAUAAAAAAUUGCGGGAUCAAUAGACUCGAGGUGGAGCAGUUAUAAAAAUAGAUCCACGUAGAUCUUCUAAAACCCUGGAAAAGUGCUAUUACCCUGCACAAGACCUCAAGCUCUUUUACAUAAAAUCAACUAACAUGAAGCAGCUUGAAAUUUGAAGAAAAUGAGUAUUGUUACACCUUUACAUCUAAACCCAACCUUCUAUCGCUCUCAUGUUUUUCUUUCUAAUCCAAUUCCAUGUACAAAAACCAAACUUAAAUUAUCUAAGAAAUUUCAAUCACCAAUUCAUAAACCCAAAUCCACACAACUCCGACAACCCAACCAUACCAUCUCAGAUGUUCUCCGUAUAAUGGACUCGCUUUCUAUACCUGUACCCAUUGAUAUUUACGCUUCUCUUCUCAAAGAAUGCACUUUUUCUCGAGACAUUGAUCAAGCCAUGUUUUUGCAUCAACAUAUGGCCAAUAGUGGCAUCAGUCUUGGGUUGUCGUGGCGUAAUCGAUUCCUUUUGUUGUUUUCUUAUUGUGGGUGUAUGAGUAUUGCCCGGCAACUGUUUGAUGAAAUGCAUGAUAAAGAUUCUAAUUCAUGGGCUGCUAUGAUGGCUGGUUAUAUGAGCAGGGGUGAUCAUAGUGAUGUUAUAGAGUUGUUUGUUGAAAUGCAGAGGUACAAGGACGCUCACGAAAAUGUGGUUUGGUUUCAGUAUUCGUGGAUUUUGGUGUGUGUUAUUCAAGCUUGUGUGGAGACUGACAAUUUUGAACUGGGGACACAAGUUCAUGGGUUGUUAUGGAAAGUGGAUUUUGGAAAGAAUUUGUUUGUUUGCAGCUCGCUCAUAGACUUUUAUGGGCGGAAUGGAUGUUUUGUAGGUGCGGAUUUUGUGUUUGAUCAAGUUCCUUGUAGCAAUACUGUUGUUUGGACUGCUAGACUUGUGAACAAAUGCAGGGAGGGACUUUUCGAUGAAGCACUUAAUGUUUUUAGGGAGAUGACGAGGGAGGGAGUGAAGAGAAAUAGUUUUACGUUCUCUAGUGUUCUUAAAGCAUGUGGUAGAUUAGGAGAUGGAGGAUUAUGUGGUGAACAAGUUCAUGCGCAUGCGAUAAAGUUUGGCGUAGUUUCUAAAAGCUAUGUGCAAUGCGGAUUAGUUGACAUGUAUAGUAAAGUCGGGUUGGUUAAAUAUGCGAAGAGAGUUUUUGAUAUGAACGAAGACGGGAAAAAUGGUGCUUGUUGGAAUGCCAUGCUUAGAGGAUAUAUGAAAGAUGGGGAGUACAUUGAAGCCAUUAAAAUUCUUUAUGAAAUGAAGGCAGCUGAUCUGCAGCCACAAGAAUCACUGCUAAAUGAAUUGAGGUGUGCGUGUGGAAGUAGUAACAUAUAGGGGGUGUUUGGUUGUGAUCUUAUAUCUUUCCCACUCCCGUACCCUUCAUUCCGUUCCCAUUCCCAUGACGGUCCAAACGCCCCCAUAGUGUAUAACAAGACUUAAAAGUUGAAAUAUAUGUACAUAUAACAUAUAUACCAUAUUCUCUUGGAUAUUUAAGCUCCUCUUGAAGAGUUAUUCUGUCUCGGGUGGUUAUCUUUCGAGUAGUCUAACUGAAAAUUUUCCUUUCAAAUAUAUGUAGUUGCCUUGUUCUGUUUGUUGUUCGUAUGGUAUGAUGUCAUAUUGUCUUGCUAGGGUACGGUCUAUGUCACAUGCUUGGCAAUUGACAUAGCAAUAUAUAAACUGCAUAGUAGUAUGUUCUAUUACUCUCACUCUUACAAACAGUACAAAAAAAGGGUCCCGAGAUGGCUACCAACAGCUCGGCCUAAGAACACUUUCGCGUCCAUGUGGUACAAGAUGUACUGCAUUAACCAGGCAUGACCUUGGAAGCCUCUAUCUUAAUCUACCUAGCUUUCCACUCCACGACGCUAGCUAUUUCAGUCGUUGAAGAGGUGCUGCCUGGAAGCUGCAGAGGUGGAGUGGAUUUGGUAAAGAAAAAGUCUAAGCAAAGCUUAGGAAGCUAUUGAUGAAAUUAUAUAUACAUGUAUAUCCAUGAAGCACCAACAAGUGAAAGUUCACAACUCUGAGCACAUAUCUGCGGAAAAUAGGGAUAAAAGAUUAGAUUUCUCGACGACAUUCAUGGAAUUAGGACACAAGGAAAAUCCGGGAAACCCUGAUAAAUUUUUCAGGGACACCGGGUAAUCUACUGGUUGGUGGGACUUGGGAGAGAUUCAACUACUGGAAUCCAAAAUUCUAGAAGAGAUGAAAUAGAAUUUGGCUGUCAAAGAAGUUACAAGCUGGAUGUUUUUGACAAAAGGGAAGAGUUGAAUGCAGAAACUGGUUUAUCUGUAUGGAGCUUUGUUUGAAGCUUUAAAACGUUUCCCUCAAGUUCCUUUCAAUCAAAAGGCUCCAGACCAACCAGACAUUCUUCCAAGUGGCCAUCGCGUGGAUGAAGACCGUAAAAUUGUGUUGUCUUUCUAUGCCAUGGGAAGAAUUGAGGGCACAUGACGAAAAGAUUGUUUAUGUUGUAUUUAGUUGGAAAAAUGUUUCGGGAAGGAAUGACAUGAAAAUUAAAUUGUA